rnacentral:rRNA from 2 species
UGCGGCCAUAUCUACCAGAAAGCACCGUUUCCCGUCCGAUCAACUGUAGUUAAGCUGGUAAGAGCCUGACCGAGUAGUGUAGUGGGUGACCAUA